rnacentral:rRNA from 1 species
UACGUAGGGUCCAAGCGUUAUCCGGAAUCACUGGGCGUAAAGCGUGCGUAGGUGGCGCGUUAAGUGUGAUGUUAAAUCGCGGGGCUCAACCCUGUCGAUGCAUCGCAUACUGGCGUGCUAGAGGGAAGCAGAGGCAAGUGGAAUUUGUAGUGUAGCAGUGAAAUGCGUAGAUAUUACAAGGAACACCAAUGGCGAAGGCAGCUUGCUGGGCUUCUUCUGACACUGAGGUACGAAAGCGUGGGGAGCGAACAGG